rnacentral:rRNA from 1 species
UACGAAGGGGGCGAGCGUUGUUCGGAAUCACUGGGCGUAAAGGGCGCGUAGGCGGCCCUCUUAGUCGCGUGUGAAAGCCCCGGGCUCAACCUGGGAACGGCGCGCGAAACGGGAGGGCUGGAGUUCGGGAGAGGAGAGUGGAAUUCCCAGUGUAGAGGUGAAAUUCGUAGAUAUUGGGAAGAACACCGGUGGCGAAGGCGGCUCUCUGGACCGAGACUGACGCUGAGACGCGAAAGCGUGGGGAGCGAACAGG